CCUACGGGUGGCAGCAGUAGGGAAUCUUCCACAAUGGGCGAAAGCCUGAUGGAGCAACGCCGCGUGGGUGAAGAAGGUCUUCGGAUCGUAAAACCCUGUUGUUAGAGAAGAAAGUGCGUGAGAGUAACUGUUCACGUUUCGACGGUAUCUAACCAGAAAGCCACGGCUAACUGCGUGCCAGCAGCCGCGGUAAUGCGUAGGUGGCAAGCGUUAUCCGGAUUUAUUGGGGGUAAAGGGAACGCAGGCGGUCUUUUAAGUCUGAUGUGAAAGCCUUCGGCUUAACCGGAGUAGUGCAUUGGAAACUGGGAGACGUGAGUGCAGAAGAGGAGAGUGGAACUCGAUGUGUAGCGGUGAAAUGCGUAGAUAUAUGGAAGAACACCAGUGGCGAAAGCGGCUCUCUGGUCUGUAACUGACGCUGAGGUUCGAAAGCGUGGGUAGCAAACAGGAUUAGAUACCCCAGUAGUC
rnacentral:rRNA from 1 species